UACAGAGGUCUCAAGCGUUGUUCGGAUUCAUCGGGCGUAAAGGGUGUGUAGGUGGCGCGCUAAGUCGGGUGUGAAAUUUCGGAGCUUAACUCCGAAACUGCAUUCGAUACUGGCGUGCUUGAGGACUGGAGAGGAGACUGGAAUUCAUGGCGUAGCAGUGAAAUGCGUAGAGAUCAUGAGGAAGACCAGUGGCGAAGGCGGGUCUCUGGACAGUUCCUGACACUGAGACACGAAGGCCAGGGGAGCAAACGGG
rnacentral:rRNA from 1 species